rnacentral:misc_RNA from 1 species
GAUGAAGAACGUAGCGAAAUGCGAUAAGUAAUGUGAAUUGCAGAAUUCAGUGAAUCAUCGAAUCUUUGAACGCACAUUGCGCCCGCCAGUAUUCUGGCGGGCAUGCCUGUCUGAGCGUCAUUUCAACCCUCAUGCCCCUAGGGCGUGGUGUUGGGGAUCGGCCAAAGCCCGCGAGGGACGGCCGGCCCCUAAAUCUAGUGGCGGACCCGUCGGGGCCUCCUCUGCGAAGUAGUGAUAUUCCGCAUCGGAGAGCGAUGAGCCCCUGCCGUUAAACCCCCAACUUUCCAAGGUUGACCUCGGAUCAGGUAGGAAUACCCGCUGAACUUAAGCAUAUCAAUAAGCGGAGGA